AGAAGACGCAGAAGAAUCUAUUGAUGGACGAUUUAAGGACACCUUCAGAACUUUGUGGCACUUUUCAAGGCAACCAGUAGUCAUGCCAAUUAUUGUGUCACAAAAUGGUUUGUACAUGUCAGUUUCAUUUAGUUAUUUCAAACAAUUUCAGAAACAACCCUAAAGGGCAGAAUAGUUGGAGAAAAAAAUCUGCGCUGCUCUUGGUAUAUCAGUGUGUUUGGAACGGCCUGAAAGCUGGGAUUGGACGCCCCCUGCAGCUGGACGCGCUCCGUUCUUUGAAAAGAGCCUGGAAAGACUCCUCCCCCUCCAGCCUUGCUCCACUCUGCUCCUGAUUAUUCACCAGCUGUCGGCACUUCUCUCAUCACCCUCUGCUGCUUAAAAGGAAACCCAAUGCCACAAAUCAACGCCAGUUGGUUGCCCAUUAUGGAAUUCUGCUCACGAGUGACGUCAGGGUGGACCCCUCUCUCUGCUGUCUGGAAGAACCCAAGGACUGCCGCGUUCGUACCUUCAGCCGUGCCACAGCCUUUCACCUAUCUGGAUCAUCUCUCGCCUUCUCACAGCGUCAUCCUUGGAGAAACAAUAAAUUAUUCUUACCUGCCACGUACCUGUCCUGAUUCUGGGAUCCAGCGUCUGGGUCCGCCUAGCAUUGAAAUCAUGACACUAUUUACUUUAUUUCAGCAGUGUUGCCAGAAUAGACGGUUUCCUGCCCAAUUGGACGGUUUAGAUUCUACAUUUGAGGGCAAAAAUAGCUUUAGGCGGAUGGACAUAAUGUGGGCGGGUUUGGGUUCGGUUCAGUGGUUCCUUAUAACACGUCUCAGCAGGAACGGAAAGGUGAGCCAGUGUUUUACCUGUAAACCAUCCUCACCAUCUGGAGGUACUGAUAAUAAAAUAAAAUCUGUCCACUUAUUUACGCUAAAUGUAGUUUAUAUGAUGAUUUUCCAUCCUUUUGCUGUAUUUUGCAUGUUUUGUUUACAACUACGUCGCGGGAAACAGCGCACAGAGCGCAGCAAAGAUUGUGCAAUCCCUGGGUCAUAGCGCCUUUAGUUUACUCUGUUUAUGCUAAUAAUCUCAUUCUUUACUAACCAUUGUACACUGUAAAAAAAAAAGGUAUAUAACCGUAAAAAACCUUGAAACCACGACAGGAAAACCUUUUAUACUAUAAAACUGUUCACAAUUGUCAUUUUGACUUAAAGUUCCUGUUAAUCAGUUCACUGGUAAAAAUUGUAAUUACUAAAUUAUUUCUUUGGAAAAAAUACAUAAUUUUACUGUAAAGGACUUGGGCAUUGUUAUUUUAACGGAACUUUUCUAUAAUGCUUAUAAUAGUCAAACACUUUUAUUUUUACAACUUUUUAUUGACAAAAGCACAGGUUUUUAUGGUAAAUGUUAGUGUGCAGUGGCUGUAAUAUGUUGUGUUUUUUGCAGGAAUUUGAGAGUGGGGUUAAAUGAACUACCGUAUUU